AGCCUACGGGACGCAGCAGUGGGGAAUAUUGGGCAAUGGGCGCAAGCCUGACCCAGCGACGCCGCGUGAGGGAAGACGGUCUUCGGAUUGUAAACCUCUUUCAGCAGGGAAGACAAAAGGACGGUACCUGCAGAAGAAGCCACGGCUAACUACGUGCCAGCAGCCGCGGUAAUACGUAGGUGGCAAGCGUCAUCCGGAAUUACUGGGUGUAAAGGGUGUGUAGGCGGGUUUGCAAGUCAGAUGUGAAAAAUAUGGGCUGAACCCAUAAACUGCGUCUGAAACUAA
rnacentral:rRNA from 1 species